rnacentral:rRNA from 1 species
GAUGAACGCUGGCGGCGUGCCUAAUACAUGCAAGUCGAGCGAACGGACGGGAAGCUUGCUUCUCUGAUGUUAGCGGCGGACGGGUGAGUAACACGUGGAUAACCUACCCAUAAGACUGGGAUAACUUCGGGAAACCGGAGCUAAUACCGGAUAAUAUUUUGAACCGCAUGGUUCAAAAGUGAAAGACGGUCUUACUGUCACUUAUGGAUGGAUCCGCGCUGCAUUAGCUAGUUGGUAAGGUAACGGCUUACCAAGGCAACGAUGCAUAGCCGACCUGAGAGGGUGAUCGGCCACACUGGAACUGAGACACGGUCCAGACUCCUACGGGAGGCAGCAGUAGGGAAUCUUCCGCAAUGGGCGAAAGCCUGACGGAGCAACGCCGCGUGAGUGAUGAAGGUCUUCGGAUCGUAAAACUCUGUUAUUAGGGAAGAACAUAUGUGUAAGUAACUGUGCACAUCUUGACGGUACCUAAUCAGAAAGCCACGGCUAACUACGUGCCAGCAGCCGCGGUAAUACGUAGGUGGCAAGCGUUAUCCGGAAUUAUUGGGCGUAAAGCGCGCGUAGGCGGUUUUUUAAGUCUGAUGUGAAAGCCCACGGCUCAACCGUGGAGGGUCAUUGGAAACUGGAAAACUUGAGUGCAGAAGAGGAAAGUGGAAUUCCAUGUGUAGCGGUGAAAUGCGCAGAGAUAUGGAGGAACACCAGUGGCGAAGGCGACUUUCUGGUCUGUAACUGACGCUGAUGUGCGAAAGCGUGGGGAUCAAACAGG